AGAUUGCCACCAGAGCGGGUUCUUCUGUCACCAUGGAAGACCCGCCCCCGGCGAACGGACUUGCUCUUCUCCUGACAAGGAGAGAGAGGGCUGGAAUGAAAUACAACUCCCUCAACUGCAGCAGGAGAGAGUGGUGUUACCAUUGCGGAUAAACUCAGGAGCUAACCAAUCACCAACUCCACGUAGGUUUGAUGACAACCCACAGACCCAGUGUAGACCAUCGGAUCGUGGAGCACAUCAUCAGAGUCUGAACCAGAGCGUGAUCAAUCUGAUGAAGUGGACUUUAUUGUUCUGGUCUGGAUGAACCAGAGCAGGUGGAUUCACCGAUCUGUGUGCACAGAUCAGCCCAGUGGAUUGGACCACAUGCUUCUCUUUCCAUCUUCUCCAGGACUCAUGCUUUUCUCCUCCAGCGCAGAGUCCUGGAGCACAGCAGGGUGGAGACAAACACUGCCCCAGCAGUCAGCAGGCUCCAGGGGCAGAGAACACAGGAGUUAAGACAUGCAGCCGUUGUUGGUGAUUAAAGAAGAAACUCUCCCUGAACACCAGGAAUG